rnacentral:ncRNA from 1 species
AUAAAGUUUUUCUAGCUUAAACUUUUCUGUGCAAGGAUAAUUUAAAUGUAAAUCUUGGUCGGAUUUAUACCUGCUUUUAGAGAGAGAAGGGAGAUUUUAUAAGGUCGCAGUAAAUAGAAUUAUUUAUUUAAUAGGUUAAGAAAUAGAAUAAUUUUUAGUACAAACUAAAUUUGUGCCAGCAGUUGCGGUUAGACUGAUUGUGCAAUAGAAAAGGGUCGGGUUCAGAUAAAGUUUUUCUUGGUCGUAGAAAAUUAUUUAUUAGGUGAAAUUUUAAUUGGUUUUUAGGUUUUAUGGAUAUUUGUAUCUGAGAAAAUUUUUUUUAUAAACUAGGAUUAGAUACCCUAUUAUAGAAAUUGUAUAUAAUCCAGAUUAGUAGUAGUUAUGUUCUUGAAAAUUAAAGAUUUUGGCGGUAUUUUAGUCUAUUCAGAGGAACCUGUCCUAUAAUUGAUAAACCACGUUUUAAAUUACUUACUCUAGAAAUUUGCAUAUCGCCGUAGGUUGAAUAUUUUUAAAAAAAUAAAAUAUUCAAAAUUUUAAGGGAAAGGAAUUCAGGUCAAGGUGUAGUUUAUGGGUGAGAAGAGAUGGGUUACAAUAAAAUUAUUUAGAUGGAUUUCUUCUUGAAUUGGAAGGAUGAAAGUGGAUUUGAGGGUAAUUUCCUAAAAUUUUGGGGAAUGAUUUUAGCUCUAAAAUAUGUACAUAUCGCCCGUCGCUUUCAUUACAAAGUGGAAUAAGUCGUAACAUAGUAGGUGUACUGGAAAGUGUCUCUAGAAAGGG